rnacentral:rRNA from 1 species
UACGUAGGGUGCGAGCGUUGUCCGGAAUUAUUGGGCGUAAAGAGCUUGUAGGCGGUUUGUCGCGUCUGCCGUGAAAUUUCGAGGCUCAACCUCGAACUUGCGGUGGGUACGGGCAGACUAGAGUGUGGUAGGGGAGACUGGAAUUCCUGGUGUAGCGGUGAAAUGCGCAGAUAUCAGGAGGAACACCGAUGGCGAAGGCAGGUCUCUGGGCCACUACUGACGCUGAGAAGCGAAAGCGUGGGGGAGCGAACAGG